rnacentral:rRNA from 1 species
AAUGAACGCUGGCGGCAGGCCUAACACAUGCAAGUCGAACGGGUCCUUCGGGACCAGUGGCGGACGGGUGAGUAACGCGUGGGAACGUGCCCCUUGGUACGGAAUAGCCCCGGGAAACGGGGAGUAAUACCGUAUGUGGUCGAGAGACGAAAGACUUAUCGCCAAGGGAUCGGCCCGCGUUGGAUUAGGUAGUUGGUGGGGUAAUGGCCUACCAAGCCGACGAUCCAUGGCGGGUUUGAGAGGAUGAUCAGCCACACUGGGACUGAGACACGGCCCAGACUCCUACGGGAGGCAGCAGUGGGGAAUCUUAGACAAUGGGGGAAACCCUGAUCUAGCCAUGCCGCGUGAUCGAUGAAGGCCUUAGGGUUGUAAAGAUCUUUCAGGUGGGAAGAUAAUGACUGUACCACCAGAAGAAGCCCCGGCUAACUCCGUGCCAGCCGCCGCCGUAA